rnacentral:lncRNA from 1 species
GGGUGGCUGCAGGGCAGCGCCAGGCAAGGCUGCGGAGAAGCCGGUGCUCCCUGUGUCUAGGAUGAAGAACAGAGCAGGGGGCUCCUCGGCGGUGUCGCUUCACCUCUCUUCCUGCUCCUUGAUUCUCUCCACCCCCACCACCAGCCCAGGUGGAGGCUCUCGGUGAUGAAGGUGCUGGCAGUGAGGGGCCUGCAGAGUCCGCA